rnacentral:rRNA from 1 species
UACGUAGGGCGCAAGCGUUUGUCCGGAAUUAUUGGGCGUAAAGAGCUCGUAGGCGGCCUGUUGCGUCCGCUGUGAAAUCCCGGGGCUUAACCCCGGGCCUGCAGUGGAUACGGGCAGGCUGGAGGCAGGCAGGGGAGAACGGAAUUCCCGGUGUAGCGGUGAAAUGCGCAGAUAUCAGGAGGAACACCGAUGGCGAAGGCAGGUCUCUGGGCCACUACUGACGCUGAGAAGCGAAAGCAUGGGGAGCGAACAGG